rnacentral:rRNA from 6 species
UGCCAGUGAUAAACUGGAGGAAGGUGGGGAUGACGUCAAGUCAUCAUGGCCCUUACGAGUAGGGCUACACACGUGCUACAAUGGCGCAUACAAAGAGAAGCGACCUCGCGAGAGCAAGCGGACCUCAUAAAGUGCGUCGUAGUCCGGAUUGGAGUCUGCAACUCGACUCCAUGAAGUCGGAAUCGCUAGUAAUCGUGGAUCAGAAUGCCACGGUGAAUACGUUCCCGGGCCUUGUACACACCGCCCGUCACACCAUGGGAGUGGGUUGCAAAAGAAGUAGGUAGCUUAACCUUCGGGAGGGCGCUUACCACUUUGUGAUUCAUGACUGGGGUGAAGUCGUAACAAGGUAACCGUAGGGGAACCUGCGGUUGGAUCACCUCCUU